rnacentral:pre_miRNA from 1 species
AAUAGAAUUGCUGGGUCAUAUGGUAGCUCUAUGUUUAAACUUUUGAGAAAGUGCUCAACUAUUUCCCACAGUGGUUGUUCCAUUUUACAUUCCCAUCAGCAGU